rnacentral:rRNA from 1 species
UGAGGAAUAUUGGACAAUGGGCGCAAGCCUGAUCCAGCCAUGCCGCGUGCAGGAUGACGGUCCUAUGGAUUGUAAACUGCUUUUGUACAGGAAGAAACAGUUCUACGUGUAGAACCUUGACGGUACUGUAAGAAUAAGGAUCGGCUAACUCCGUGCCAGCAGCCGCGGUAAUACGGAGGAUCCAAGCGUUAUCCGGAAUCAUUGAGUUUAAAGGGUCCGUAGGCGGUUAGAUAAGUCAGUGGUGAAAGCCCAUCGCUCAACGGUGGAACGGCCAUUGAUACUGUCUGACUUGAAUUAUUAGGAAGUAACUAGAAUAUGUAGUGUAGCGGUGAAAUGCUUAGAGAUUACAUGGAAUACCAAUUGCGAAGGCAGGUUACUACUAAUGGAUUGACGCUGAUGGACGAAAGCGUGGGUAGCGAACAGGAUUAGAUACCCAAGUAGUCCCUGAGCGGGCUGGCAAGGCG